AUUGAACGCUGGCGGCAGGCCUAACACAUGCAAGUCGAGCGAGCGGCGGACGGGUGAGUAAUGUAUGGGGACUGCCCGAUAGCGGGGGAUCACUACUGGAAACGGUAGCUAAUACCGCAUCCUAUCGGAUAACCCAUAUGGGAUUAGCUAGUAGGUGGGGUAAUGGCUCACCUAGGCGACGAUCCCUAGCUGGUCUGAGAGGAUGAUCAGCCACACUGGGCCUGAGAAACGGCCCAGACGCCUACGGAGGCAGCAGUGGGGAAUAUUGCACAAGGGGCGCAAGCCUGAUGCAGCCAUGCCGCGUGUAUGAAGAAGGCCCUAGGGUUGUAAAGUACUUUCAGUCGGGAGGCGUUACCGACAGAAGAAGCACCGGCUAACUCCGUGCCAGCAGCCGCGGUAAUUA
rnacentral:rRNA from 1 species